UACGUAGGGUGCAAGCGUUGUCCGGAAUUAUUGGGCGUAAAGAGCUCGUAGGCGGUCUGUUGCGUCGGCUGUGAAAACCCGGGGCUCAACCCCGGGCCUGCAGCCGAUACGGGCAGACUAGAGUUCGGCAGGGUAGCGGAAUUCCCAGUGUAGCGGUGAAAUGCGUAGAUAUUGGGAGGAACACCAGUGGCGAAGGCGGCUACCUGGACCGGUUCUGACGCUGAGGCGCGAAAGCGUGGGAAGCAAACAGG
rnacentral:rRNA from 1 species